UACGUAGGUGGCAAGCGUUGUCCGGAAUUAUUGGGCGUAAAGCGCGCGCAGGCGGUCCUUUAAGUCUGAUGUGAAAGCCCACGGCUCAACCGUGGAGGGUCAUUGGAAACUGGGGGACUUGAGUACAGAAGAGGAAAGCGGAAUUCCACGUGUAGCGGUGAAAUGCGUAGAGAUGUGGAGGAACACCAGUGGCGAAAGGCGGCUUUCUGGUCUGUAACUGACGCUGAGGCGCGAAAGCGUGGGGGAGCAAACAGG
rnacentral:rRNA from 1 species